CACACAUGAAUAGAUUGUGCUUCCAUCCACCAGUCCUUGAAGAUGCGACGAUGGGGGCUGACAAUCAAUGAAGUUAAGGUAAUCUGGAUGGCACAGCUAAGGAAGCAAACAGCUUAUGUUUCCAGACAGCAUCCGCUCUGGCUCAGAGCAGGUGCUUUCAUUGCAUUUAUGCUUCUCCUACGGGCGAGUUCUUCCAGCUCCUGAGGAGGUGGUAAUAUGCAUCACUUUCAUCAAUACCAGCUUCAAUCCAAGGAAUGUCACUCUUAAAAUAGCAGCGAGUAUAAACCAUCUGCAUUUAAGCACUUGACAUUUUGGGAAAAUACGACAGCUAUACCAAAAA